AGAGUUUGAUCAUGGCUCAGGAUGAACGCUGGCGGCGUGCUUAACACAUGCAAGUCGAACGAAGCACUUAAGAUUGACUCUUCGGAUGAUUUCUUUUGUGACUUAGUGGCGGACGGGUGAGUAACGCGUAUCCAACCUGCCCACCACUUGGGGAUAACCUUGCGAAAGUAAGACUAAUACCCAAUGAUAUCUCUAGAAGACAUCUGAAAGAGAUUAAAGAUUUAUCGGUGAUGGAUGGGGAUGCGUCUGAUUAGCUUGUUGGCGGGGUAACGGCCCACCAAGGCGACGAUCAGUAGGGGUUCUGAGAGGAAGGUCCCCCACAUUGGAACUGAGACACGGUCCAAACUCCUACGGGAGGCAGCA
rnacentral:rRNA from 1 species